AACGAACGCUGGCGGCAUGCCUAACACAUGCAAGUCGAACGAGACCUUCGGGUCUAGUGGCGCACGGGUGCGUAACGCGUGGGAACCUGCCCUUAGGUUCGGAAUAACUCCCCGAAAGGGGUGCUAAUACCGGAUAAUGUCUUCGGACCAAAGAUUUAUCGCCUUUGGAUGGGCCUGCGUUGGAUUAGCUAGUUGGUAGGGUAAAAGCCUACCAAGGCGACGAUCCAUAGCUGGUCUGAGAGGAUGAUCAGCCACACUGGGACUGAGACACGGCCCAGACUCCUACGGGAGGCAGCAGUGGGGAAUAUUGGACAAUGGGCGAAAGCCUGAUCCAGCAAUGCCGCGUGAGUGAUGAAGGCCUUAGGGUUGUAAAGCUCUUUUACCCGGGAUGAUAAUGACAGUACCGGGAGAAUAAGCGCCGGCUAACUCCGUG
rnacentral:rRNA from 1 species